rnacentral:lncRNA from 1 species
CACACACACACAUAUACACCUACACAUAUCCAAACAUACAGAGACGCAUAUAGAGACAUACACGGGCACACACAACACAUACACACAGAUAUAGAGAGAUACACAGAGUUAUACACACAAACCAACACUUAUACAGACAUACACAUGCACAGAGACACACAUAGAUAUACCCAGAUACCCACAGAUACACUCACACUUACACAGACAGACACACUCUUUUGUAGGAGGCUUUUACAACUCAGCACUAAGGACGCUGGUCUCACUCAUGAUUCCUUGUAAGAAAAUAAUUUCUUUGUGGAGAGUCAACAUAUUCGGUUCAAUACAGCAAAUAGCCCCUGCAGUGGGUUGAACCACGUCUUCCAAAAAGCCACUUUCAAGUCCUAACCGUGGUACCAGGAAUGUGACCUGAUUGGAAAACAGGGUCUUUGCAGAUGUAAUAAGGUGAAGAUGAGAUCACACUGGAUUAGAGGGUGAUGUGGUUUGGCUGUGUCCCCACCCACAUCUCAUCUCACAUUGUAUUCACCAUAAUCCCCAAGUGUUGAGGGAGUGACCUGGUAGGAGGUGUUUGGAUCAUGGGAGCGGUUUCCCUCAUGCUGUCCUUGUGAUAGUGAGGGAGUUCUCACGGGAGCUGAUGGUUUUAUAAAUGGCAGUUUCUCCUGGGCUUUUCUCUCACUCACCUGCAGCUUUGUGAAGAAGGUACCUCCUUCCCCUUCUGCCAUGAUUGGUCUUGCUCUGUUGCCCAGGCUGGACUGCACUGACACAUUCAUGGCUCACUGCAGCCUCCAUUCCCUGGCCUCAAACAGUCAUCCAUCCUCAGUCUCCUCAGUAGCUGGGACCACAGGUGUGUGCCACCAUGCCCUGCUAUUUUUUUAUUUUUUGUAGAGAUGGGGUCUCAUUAUGUUGCCCAGGCUGGUCUUGAGCUCCUGAACUCAAAGUGAUCCUCCUGUCUUGGCAUUUGAAAGUGUUGGGAUUAUAGGCAUGAAUUCCCAUGCCUGACCUAUGUGCUGAUCAUAUUCAUUAGCAUUUAUUAAAGUAGAAAUUAAAACUGAG